UCACUCUUUGCCAAGCAAUCCUCCAAUGGGGUCACAAAGAUUCAGACACACAACAAACUCCCACAAAACCUUCUGGCUCCAAGUCCUCUCACUGAGAAGACUCUCAGUAAAUUGGAUCUUAUGACCGUUAAUGACUUUGCUCCUGUUUGAUUUUGUAAAUGUUCUUUUGUCGCGAGCCCUCUGGGGUUCCUCGUGUACCCAUUAACCCUCAGUCUACACCUGCUGUUUUCAGGCCCAACCCGAGGUUCCUGGCUCCCAGCAGAGACAGCUGGCCGGGGGAACGAGGACAUCAAGGGUCGGAACUCUCAGUUACCAUUGAAAAGUCUACGGUAAGAAGAGAUGACGUGAAAAUCCCAUCAUUCUGCCCUAGUCCGUAUAGCAGAAUGGAGGAUCUGCCUGGGAAUGCCAUCAGCAACUACACCAAACUCCAGUUUUUCUUUUUCAUCUUACGAACCAGCUCUUAUUUAUUAUAGUUAGGUUGUUUGCACAAGCUUUGAAUCCGUGUUGUAGCUGUCUUUUAUUUUAGCGAUUUAUUUUUCCAAUGCGCCCCGAUGUGGGGCAGCCCACCUGUCCAAAUCAGUACAAAGAGGAGUCUUUCCCCAGCCUCAUUACAUGGAGUGGGAGAGAGGACAUCCCCCCUCCCUGUCCAGUGUUCAUUCCAAGACUGUAAAUAGCCGCAUGGGCUGGCCCUUCCUGCGUCUUAAAAAUCAUUUUUUGAAUCGCCUCUAGAGAAGUUUUAGCUAGUCCCUGUGUUCGAGAGUUCAUGGUAACUUGCCAGUGACCCGAUUUCCUAAGUCUCAUUGCACCAGGUAGGUCACAGACCCCAAAAUGCUUUAUCAAGUGAUGAAACAAGCCAUGUACCCAUACUACAGCAGAUGGAUGUCACCAGUCAGCCCAGAAUGACCAGAAUGCCAUGGCUCUCCAGCCUCCCUCCUUCGCUCCCAGAUUUUCAGGAUGUGGAUUGAUUUUGUUGCCUAAUGUAAAUAAGACCCUUAAUAAAAACAAAGAACAGGAAUUUUGUUUCCAUA